UGGCGGUUCUUCAUCCAAUCAGAGGGGUGUGUGGUUAAACGAAAUUGCACGAAAAUCUUACCUAAAUUUUUAGUGAUUUUAGUUUUUAUAAAAAUUAUAAAUUUUGUACACCUCCGUCGGAAGGGUACUUUUAAAAAAGUGUCCUAAUUCUUUAUUUAGAGUUAAGUCAGGUCAAGGUGCAGAUUAUAUUUAGGACUCCAUGCAUUUCAUUAAAAAUUGAGAUAGUAAACUUUGAAAAAGCUUUUAUAAAGAAUUUGAUAGUAAGGAAUUAGCUUUAUUAUGAAUUCCUGAAAAGGGAAAUAAAGAAUGCACACAUCGCCCG
rnacentral:rRNA from 1 species